rnacentral:lncRNA from 1 species
GUUUCUAAUCUGGUUACCAUACUUCAUAUCAGAAUUUUACAAAUCUACAUUAGUUUGCUGACUUGGGGAAGAGUAUGAAUCAUUCAUACAAAACGUCACCAUUAGAGGUACAGACAUUUCUUAUGUAUAGAUAAAAGCGAUGUUUGCAAACAUAAAAACUCGUCAACUGCAAAAGAAUCCUAGCCUCACACCACCAAUAUCGCAGAAAUGGGUCAUGGAACAUUAAAUUGUAGGUAUGUUUCUGUAAAGUUCCCGACAACGACCACUAUACGAUGAUUGGUUGCUAAACAGAGCAAAUCCGUCAAUACAGUGGCUCCCAAAGAGCCUACUAAUCUGUAGUGGUACCCGAAUUCCAGGGGCCACUAAUCACAUCGUAUCGGCCAAGGCCUACAUAGGUAACGAUUAUUUAUGACAACUGAAAAUAUUUGUGGUUCCCAAUUGAAAAUGUUUUACCCUCUUUAGAAUGGAUAGUUAUAAUAUAUAUAUAGUUAUAUAUAUUAUGAAAAUCAUAAUAUCAAUCUUAUCGUAUUUUAUUUUUUAUUCAUUUGUAUUUUAAAACAUUCUACUUCAAUAUCUUUAAUGAAUUUUUUUAAUAUUUACAAAAAUAAUAAUAAUCCUAAUAAAUUUAUAAUUUGGAUUGAGGUGUAAGGUGAUUACCCAAGGGUCUAAACUGCAAAGCAAUGAGAGCAGUUAAUUCUCGAACAUCAGAAUCACAUGAAAUGAAGUAUGAAAAUAUUUUUUCUUUAUUUCAUUAAAAAAAUACAAGUCUUGAUUUUUGAAGAUAUUCCAUUAUUCCAAUAAUACCAUAAUCAUCAUAUUUCAUUUUUUUAGAUAUGUUUUGAAAUUCAAAUUGUGUUAUACUUUUCAUUUAAAUGAUUGGAAUGACGGUAUUUAUCUUUGUAGAAUUGUGUGUGCAUCUGAAUAAGAAAAUAUCUACCAUUUAUACAACAGCUACACACGUCUACACUACAUUCCUCUGCAACAUUACACUAUAGUGGUUUCAAUUGAUGGCUGUUUUUAACAUCUCCUGUUUAAACAUAUCUGCGUUUCAGUAACAUGUCAAUUAAUUUACAAAACCCCAGAAUUUUUUUUAAAAUGAAAAUUUUGAUUCAGAAAUUACCAAAAGAAUGUCAUGAUCAGUGCCAAAUGUGCUGUGUGCAUCUUCAAAGCACUUUAAAGAUGCUUUUUCGUGCUUUCUGUACAACCCAACAAACAAAUAGAUAAUCAUAGAUCAAUGUGUAUUGAUUGGUUGGCAGUUGGCAUUAAGAAUGAAGAUCACCUCUUGCUGGAAGGAUCUCUCAUAUCAAACUCCUCUGUAUUCAUAUUAAAUCCGCACAGAACUACAUAGUGUCCUGAAAUACUCAUUCAAAUCAACUUUCACUUGAUUUCAAUCCAUCUAGCUUCUAGGUAGAGGAAGAAAAACUUCUCACCAAUAUAGCUUCUUGAAUCAUGUACGUCCUUGGUCAAAGAGUCACUGCAUGCAAUGGUAAUCGAUAAGUGGGUAGUAUAUAUCUCGGCCAAUUCUGAUGAUAUUUUCUUUCUUCGAUCUUCGGAUAUUUUUACCUUAACUUGAACUUGUCGACCAAUGCGACUGCUAUGUAGUUGCCCGACAGUAUCAAUCCCGAUAUUUCCUGGGCGCUGGUGGAUCUGUUCUGUUGCUUAAGGAUUCAUUGCCACGGCAAACAGAGAAAUCAACAAGUAAUUAAGCGAAACAAAACAGCAAAGAGAAAAAGGAAAAAAGAAAAACCUGUACGUCGAUUCCAACUUGUUCUGCCUUUUGAAAUAAUCCAUCAACUCUAACUAUGUCGUUCCGCAGCUGUUCCUAAAUUACCUUCAAUUCGGAAUUCAGAUAUGCCGAGACAACAAAUUAAGCAGUUAUCUGGCUUACCCUGUAAUAAGCCUCUACGCAGUAGUCGGGAUUUGCACCGAUGGUGGUGGUGUGGUAGGAAAAAGCAACUGAGAAUGUAUGCAACAAGUAGGCCAAAUCAAUAGUCCAGAUGCUGUUACAAUUUGCAAAGACGUAUGAUAUUAAUAAAGGUAGAAAUGAACACAAUUUAGUAAUUUGCCUAAUUUAGAUUUAAACAAAGAAAGAAAACAAAAUUCCAAUUUAUGACCUGUUGGUGGGACAGAGAUCUCUGAGAUGGUGGAUUUCGCAAUGUGUCAGACCUAGGGUUCUUAGAACCAUGAGAACGCAGGCUAUGCCACAAUCCCAAUCCGAUACUUGCUGAACAUGAGGGACCUGCGUCGAUGAAUGGAUGGAUGGAUGGAUGGAUCAGCAUAAUAGGAUCGAUUGAAUUACCUCGUAAUUUUCACGGCGAUUCAAAAGGAAAGGAGAAAUGACGACGGAAACUGACAUC